rnacentral:rRNA from 1 species
AUUGAACGCUGGCGGCAGGCCUAACACAUGCAAGUCGAACGAGUGGCGGACGGGUGAGUAAUGUCUGGGAAACUGCCCGAUGGAGGGGGAUAACUACUGGAAACGGUAGCUAAUACAGCAUACCAUCGGAUGUGCCCAGAUGGGAUUAGCUAGUAGGUGGGGUAACGGCUCACCUAGGCGACGAACCCUAGCUGGUCUGAGAGGAUGACCGGCCACACUGGAACUGAGAAACUGUCCAGACUCUUACGGUAGGCAGCAGGGGGGAAUAUUGGACAAUGGGCGCAAGCCGGAUGCAGCCAUGCCGCUUGUAUGAAGAAGUCCUUCGGGUUGUAAAGUACUUUCACCGAGGAGGCGGUACUCGCACAAGAAGCACCGGCUAACUCCGUGCCAGCAGCCGCGGUAAUAC